CAGCUUGAGCGGCAGCUUGUAGGUACUGGAAAAGAACGUGAUUUCACUGAGUAUCUGACGAUUAUUGUCACCACUUAAAAAAAAAAAAAAGGUUAAUUUGGCCUUGAUUCAAAGUAGUUUGCUUAGUGCAAUCACUGUUGAGUUUCCCCGAACAUCCACAGCAUUGUGAUUCGGGGAAACGGGGGGGGGGAGGGGGGAAGUCGUAAAUUACAUCAGUGCCGAACAGAUUCGUGAAUUAAAAACAAUCUAGGGCCACUGUCUUGCUUCUAUCAUCCGUAGUGUUUUUGUGGUUUUUCUUUUUUCCUCCAAAACAGUUUCCGUAUAAAAUUUCCUUUUGUAAAACCUACC